UACGUAGGGGCCAAGCGUUGUCCGGAUUUAUUGGGCGUAAAGAGCUCGUAGGCGGUUGGGUAAGUCGGGUGUGAAAACUCCAGGCUCAACUUGGAGAUGCCACCCGAUACUGCUCUGACUUGAGUUCGGUAGGGGAGUGGGGAAUUCCUGGUGUAGCGGUGAAAUGCGCAGAUAUCAGGGAGAACGAGCCGGUAGGCGCAAGGCGCCGACCUACUGGGCCGAAACUGACG
rnacentral:rRNA from 1 species